rnacentral:rRNA from 1 species
GAUGAACGCUGGCGGCGUGCCUAAUACAUGCAAGUCGAGCGAACAGACGAGGAGCUUGCUCCUCUGACGUUAGCGGCGGACGGGUGAGUAACACGUGGAUAACCUACCUAUAAGACUGGGAUAACUUCGGGAAACCGGAGCUAAUACCGGAUAAUAUAUUGAACCGCAUGGUUCAAUAGUGAAAGACGGUUUUGCUGUCACUUAUAGAUGUAUCCGCGCCGCAUUAGCUAGUUGGUAAGGUAACGGCUUACCAAGGCAACGAUGCGUAGCCGACCUGAGAGGGUGAUCAGCCACACUGGAACUGAGACACGGUCCAGACUCCUACGGGAGGCAGCAGUAGGGAAUCUUCCGCAAUGGGCGAAAGCCUGACGGAGCAACGCCGCGUGAGUGAUGAAGGUCUUCGGAUCGUAAAACUCUGUUAUUAGGGAAGAACAAAUGUGUAAGUAACUAUGCACGUCUUGACGGUACCUAAUCAGAAAGCAACGGCUAACUACGUG